rnacentral:rRNA from 1 species
AGCGCGUGGAGCAUGUGGCUUAAUUUGACUCAACACGGGAAAUCUUACCGGGUCCGGACAUACCGAGGAUUGACAGACUGUUAACUGCAACACAAGCUGCUAAGUUUUAAACUUAAUAGCUCUUUCAUGAUUAUAUGAUAGGUGGUGCAUGGCCGUUCUUAGUUCGUGGAGUGAUCUGUCUGCUUAAUUGCGUUUCAAAAUUUAAACCUGAGCGACAAGGUGCUGCUAUCGAAACUGUCUUUGAGUGUGAACUAUAAGUCUUUUGACUUAUGACCAUCACUCUAGACGUUUAUGUUUUGGUGUUGGCCCUUGAUGCUCAUUUGAACGCAACGGACGUGAUUGCAACCCCUUGUUGAGAUUUAUCCGAUCUCUACGUUCACUGAACCACACUCUUUAGCGAGAGCAGUGGGGAUGUGGAUAAACUCGGGGGACUGCUGACUAUAAACUUUUCUCAAACCAGAGGAAGGUUGCGGCAAUAACA